AAUGAACGCUGGCGGCGUGGAUCAGGCAUGCAAGUCGAACGAGAAACCGGUCUUCGGAUCGGCGGUACAGUGGCGAACGGGUGAGUAACGCGUGGGAAACGUACCCUCGAGUGGGGAACAACAGCUCUAACGGGCUGCUAAUACCGCAUAACAUUGCAGGUCGCAUGACCUGCUCUCAAAGGUGGCCUCUACUUGUAAGCUGCCGCUUGAGGAAUGUCCCGCGUCCGAUUAGCUUGUUGGUAGGGUAACGGCCUACCAAGGCGACGAUCGGUAGCCGGCCUGAGAGGACGACCAGCCACACUGGAACUGAGACACGGUCCAGACUCCUACGGGAGGCAG
rnacentral:rRNA from 1 species